rnacentral:rRNA from 1 species
UCCUGGCUCAGAUUGAACGCUGGCGGCAUGCCUUACACAUGCAAGUCGAACGGCAGCGGACCUUCGGGUGCCGGCGAGUGGCGAACGGGUGAGUAAUAUAUCGGAACGUACCUUCAGUGGGGGAUAACGUAGCGAAAGUUACGCUAAUACCGCAUAUUCUGUGAGCAGGAAAGCAGGGGAUCGCAAGACCUUGCGCUGAUUGAGCGGCCGAUAUCAGAUUAGCUAGUUGGUGAGGUAAAGGCUCACCAAGGCGACGAUCUGUAGCGGGUCUGAGAGGAUGAUCCGCCACACUGGAACUGAGACACGGUCCAGACUCCUACGGGAGGCAGCAGUGGGGAAUUUUGGACAAUGGGCGCAAGCCUGAUCCAGCCAUGCCGCGUGAGUGAAGAAGGCCUUCGGGUUGUAAAGCUCUUUCGGCCGGGAAGAAAUCGCACAGGUUAAUACCCUGUGUGGAUGACGGUACCGGAAUAAGAAGCACCGGCUAACUACGUG